GCAGACGGGUGAGUAACGCGUGGGAAUCUACCCAAUUCUACGGAACAACAGUUGGAAACGACUGCUAAUACCGUAUACGCCCUACGGGGGAAAGAUUUAUCGGAAUUGGAUGAGCCCGCGUUGGAUUAGCUAGUUGGUGGGGUAAAGGCCUACCAAGGCGACGAUCCAUAGCUGGUCUGAGAGGAUGAUCAGCCACAUUGGGACUGAGACACGGCCCAAACUCCUACGGGAGGCAGCAGUGGGGAAUAUUGGACAAUGGGCGCAAGCCUGAUCCAGCCAUGCCGCGUGAGUGAUGAAGGUCUUAGGAUUGUAAAGCUCUUUCACCGGAGAAGAUAAUGACGGUAUCCGGAGAAGAAGCCCCGGCUAACUUCGUGCCAGCAGCCGCGGUAAUACGAAGGGGGCUAGCGUUGUUCGGAAUUACUGGGCGUAAAGCGCACGUAGGCGGAUAUUUAAGUCAGGGGUGAAAUCCCAGAGCUCAACUCUGGAACUGCCUCUGAUACUGGGUAUCUUGAGUAUGGAAGAGGUGAGUGGAAUUGCGAGUGUAGAGGUGAAAUUCGUAGAUAUUCGCAGGAACACCAGUGGCGAAGGCGGCUCACUGG
rnacentral:rRNA from 1 species